CAGCACAGGCAGUGACAAGCCAUUUGAUCCAGUGAUGCUGAGAGUCUUUGUGCAGAGGUCUGUAACGAAAUGGAAUGAUUUCCAGAGAUGUUGGUCGCAUUCUGAAUCCAAAACACAGCACUGUAACAGCUACUGGAAGAAAGGAACAGUAUGAUAGCUGAAAGGAGCAAGCCAUGACUCAAAAUCAUUUUGAUAGAUAGGCUUUACACUUGUGCUACUCAAGGAAGGACAGCAGAUUACAGAAAAUUUUAAUCACAGGGGGAGGCAAAAAACAUCAGCCCCCUUCCUAGUGCUGGCCAGGGUGGGCUUGCACUCCUGGGUUACACAGGGUGUUUGCACCACAACAUCCACGAGCAGUUUCCUCUCCCCACAGCUUGGAUCAGGACAGCAUUCCCACUGUGCCGGCAAUGCCUUUGGUAACUGGCAGCUUUGAGAGGCAGUAGAACUUGGACAGGGAACACCUGCAACUGUGCUGGGGAAAGGAAACACAACCUCUUCUGCACGCCCUGGGUUAUGGUUUCUUGGUUGUAGAUGGUGUUGUCAGAUUUUCCCACCAUACCCUAUCAACCUGUCUUGAUUCACCCAGGAUUUAAAAAGAUGACACUGUGACACAUCUGGAGGAAGAGCUAUAGGGACUAUAGGGAAGGAUCAGCUCUCUGCUCCCAGAACUGAAGCACUUCUUCCUGACACCAUUCCCAGAGUGUCCCUUAAGCCUUUCCUUUUCCAAGACAAUUUACACAAAGGACUGAGUGUCACUCACAGCUUCCCUCCUCCAUCUCCUGGACCACAACACACCUCAGAACCUGCAGGGCCUGCUGACAGUCCAGUUGACCUCCUGCUACAUAAUGAGGCAGAAAAUGCCCUGCAAUAUUGGAAGUGUGUAAGAAAUAGUUGGCUUCAUACCCAAACCAGAAAACUGGGGCUCAGUGUGUCUCUGCAGCUAAACAAAGAUCUGUCACUGGGAACUCAGCUAUUUCCUACUCAUCUGCUCACCAGCCCAGCAGAUCUGCUUGUUUCUCUGCAAGACUGCUUCCAGAAGAUGCACCAUGCCAAAUGUGGUGGUUGCUGUAGACAAGGACUAAUCAUAAAUGUAACUGAAAUUCAUUUUACUGUUUUGUUGUUUUGGUUUUUUUUAUGUUGCAAACAAUGGCAGAGGAUAAAGAGGAAAAUACUUAAUAUCCUCAGUAUUAUGGAGCAGUUUUGA
rnacentral:lncRNA from 1 species